CCGUCUAGCGUCAUACGCACAGAUGUUAUGCGUCCCAAGUAUGUCGAGGUAGUUUACGAAAUCUAGCUUUUUUAUGACUACCGAGUUUGAAAAUUUUAUUUACCCUAUUGUUCUAUAAUUAUAUGCCAUGUAUGAUAUAUUUUUGGAAAGAGGAAGAAACUAGUUAUAGCAUAAAAAUGUAAUCAUGACGAUAUAUUUUUUCUAUAAAAUUAUAAAAAAAUUGAUUUUCUUUUGUUUUAAUUUUAAUUGCUUACAUACCUACUAACACUUACAUGAUAAUGGUGAGUCAUCAAAUGAUCAUAUUCACGUUUUCAUAUCACUACACGAUUGCCAAAUACAUUCACUUAUAUUUUCACACAUUUAACACAACGUAUUUCACUAUGAAUAAUACCUAACAAAUAUCCAUUAUUCACAAACAAGAAAAAAAGCGCCAUUUUGCGUCUUCCGCACUGAAAAGUUGAGACACUUUUUCACUGAGUAUUCUUCAAAUAUCCCUAAAACCAAUAUCAUAAACGUAUUCUACGUAAAAUUUCCAGUAAUAUACGUCUCAAUUAUCACUCAUCUAAUUAUUCCUCUCGGCAUAAUUCACAAUCCAAAUAUUCGUUGAACAAGACGAACGUUACAAAGUACAAACUAUGGCCGAUGACGCAACUCAAUCAAUGAUUCACUUUUUUUUUUUUUUUUUUUGUGGUUUUAGUCUGUAUUUCCUGUCUCGGAGUCGUGUCGAUUCGAAUUAUAAAUGUUUAAGGCAUAGAGAAAUAUUUUUUAUACUGGAAACAUUCACUUGUACGUCUCUACUGAUGACCUUCAAUGUCACGGGCCGCGUUACGCACAGCGUUUGUGCGCAGGACGCUACACGGGUUAAGAGGCUGAUUCAAGAAUGUUCUGCCAUAUUUUUCAUUCUGUCAAACACAACGACAGUGCAGAGAUAAUUAUUCCAAGCCCUGACACCGAUAUUUUUGUAUUAGGCCUUUAUUUCUGGCAUUUUUUAUGUAAUUUAUUUAAUUAAAAAUUGAAAACAAUUAUUUCGGCCAUAUAUGUAUAACUUUAGUAGGCAGGUACUUUAUGUAAUAUUAUAAAAAAAAAUCACUAACCCGAAAUUAUAUUAAAAUAAAAUUCAAAUUCAAAUUCAAAUUCGUUUAUCCAAUCAAACUUAACCUAACCUUAGAGCUAAAUACAUUAGGUGUUGUACAUAUUAUGUUUAGUGAUAGGUAUGUAUCAAUCAUCGGUUCAAGACUGGCAUCUUUGCUAGGUUACCGAGAAGAAACGAAAAUGGCCAAGAACAAGACGACGACAUAAUCUUCGAAGACUUCGCGCGCCUCAGGCUGAAGGGCGCGGACGCUGAUGCUUGAACAUUAUGCUAACAGCGCUCUCUUACUGAACUACAUUCUAUAUUUUGUUAUACCAAACGCACAAUUGUAUCGUACUUUUUGAAUUUUCAUAAACAACAUUGUUCGUUUUGAAAUCCAUCGAAUGACCAUAGACACAAGAAAUAAGUGUUACCAUCCUUAGCGAAAAGUGUUAUAAUCUGUAUUAAAAUAAAAAUGAUGUAUAAAAUCA